rnacentral:ribozyme from 1 species
UGCCCAGCAACUCCUAUCCCAACCUCCUCGCGUUACUGGUCGGGGUAUGAGUAACCUUAGGAAAGAUCGGGUAACCAACUCGCUCUGGUCGUAUGCUGACAGGGAAGG